rnacentral:rRNA from 1 species
UAGGGAAUCUUCGGCAAUGGACGGAAGUCUGACCGAGCAACGCCGCGUGAGUGAAGAAGGUUUUCGGAUCGUAAAGCUCUGUUGUAAGAGAAGAACGAGUGUGAGAGUGGAAAGUUCACACUGUGACGGUAUCUUACCAGAAAGGGACGGCUAACUACGUGCCAGCAGCCGCGGUAAUACGUAGGUCCCGAGCGUUGUCCGGAUUUAUUGGGCGUAAAGCGAGCGCAGGCGGUUAGAUAAGUCUGAAGUUAAAGGCUGUGGCUUAACCAUAGUACGCUUUGGAAACUGUUUAACUUGAGUGCAAGAGGGGAGAGUGGAAUUCCAUGUGUAGCGGUGAAAUGCGUAGAUAUAUGGAGGAACACCGGUGGCGAAAGCGGCUCUCUGGUCUGUAACUGACGCUGAGGCUCGAAAGCGUGGGGAGCGAACAGGAUUAGAUACCCUGGUAGUCCACGCCGUAAACGAUAAGUGCUAGGUGUUGGAUCCUUUCCGGGAUUCAGUGCCGCAGCUAACGCAUUAAGCACUCCGCCUGGGGAGUACGACCGCAAGGUUG